UGCGGCAGGCCUAAUACAUGCAAGUCGAGGGAGAUUAUCGGAUUCGUCUGAUAUGAAACCGGCGCACGGGUGCGUAACACGUAUGCAACCUACCUUUAACUGGGGUAUAGCUCAGAGAAAUCUGAAUUAAUCCCCCAUAACACUACGACAUGGCAUCAUGAUGUAGUUAAAGCUCCGGCGGUUAAGGAUGGGCAUGCGGUACAUUAGCUAGUUGGUGAGGUAAUGGCUCACCAAGGCUACGAUGUAUAGGGGGUCUGAGAGGAUGAUCCCCCACACUGGUACUGAGACACGGACCAGACUCCUACGGGAGGCAGCAGUAGGGAAUAUUGGUCAAUGGACGCAAGUCUGAACCAGCCAUGCCGCGUGAAGGAUGAAGGCCCUCUGGGUCGUAAACCUCUUUUAUUAGGGAAGAAACCUCAGGAUGCGUCCUGGGCUGACGGUACUUAAUGAAUAAGGAUCGGCUAACUUCGUGCCAGCAGCCCGCGGUAAU
rnacentral:rRNA from 1 species